GCGCACGCUGGCGGCAGGCUUCACCCCUGCAAGUCGCGCGGGCAUCUUCGGAUGUCAGCGGCAGACGGGUGAGUAACACGUGGGAACGUACCCUUCGGUUCGGAACAACUCUGGGAAACUGGAGCUAAUACCGGAUACGCCCUUAUGGGGAAAGGUUUACUGCCGAAGGAUCGGCCCGCGUCUGAUUAGCUAGUUGGUGGGGUAACGGCCUACCAAGGCGACGAUCAGUAGCUGGUCUGAGAGGAUGAUCAGCCACACUGGGACUGAGACACGGCCCAGACUCCUACGGGAGGCAGCAGUGGGGAAUAUUGGACAAUGGGCGCAAGCCUGAUCCAGCCAUGCCGCGUGAGUGAUGAAGGCCUUAGGGUUGUAAAGCUCUUAUGUCCGGGACGAUAAUGACGGUACCGGAAGAAUAAGCCCCGGCUAACUUCGUG
rnacentral:rRNA from 1 species